CCAAUAGCGUAUAUUAAAGUUGUUGCAGUUAAAAAGCUCGUAGUUGAAUUUCGGGACCAGUAUGUCGGUCGUGCUUCUGUACGUACUGUCAUUACUGGUUUCUCCCUUCUGAAGAACCACGAUGUCAUUAAUUUGGUGUCGUGGGGAAUCAGGACUGUUACUUUGAAAAAAUUAGAGUGUUUAAAGCAGGCUCGCGCUUGAAUACAUUAGCAUGGAAUAAUGAAAUAGGACGUUUGAUUCUAUUUUGUUGGUUUCUAGGAUCGACGUAAUGAUUAAUAGGGAUAGUUGGGGGCAUUAGUAUUCAAUUGUCAGAGGUGAAAUUCUUGGAUUUAUUGAAGACUAACUACUGCGAAAGCAUUUGCCAAGGAUGUUUUCAUUAAGCAAGAACGAAAGUUAGGGGAUCGAAGACGAUCAGAUACCGUCGUAGUCUUAACCAUAAACUAUGCCGACUAGGGAUCGGAUGAUGUUAAUUUUUUAAUGACUCAUUCGGCGCCUUACG
rnacentral:rRNA from 1 species